GUUAAGCAGACCAAUUAAGGAGCUCCUGCUGGAAUCAAAAUAAGAGGUACCAAAGAUAAUACUAAGAGAUGUAAUCUCAGAGAAAAAAUUUCCAAAUACAUGGACAGAGCGGAAAACAUAAAGAAGUACUUGGACCAAGAAAAAGAAGAAGCUAAAGAAACUCCUGGGAUUUCUCUCAGAUUUUGUUGUGAAUCAAAACACCUCAGGAGUUAAGCAUUCCUAAUGAUUAGAGGUCAGAUGGAAAAUAUCACAAGCAAAUUAAAAUAGAAGAGAAUGCAACAGGUUUCAGUUAUGAGUCACUUUUUCGCGAAUACCUUAAUGAGACAGUUACAGAAGUUUGGAUAGAAGAUCCUUAUAUUAGACAUACUCAUCAGCUGUAUAACUUUCUUCGAUUUUGUGAGAUGCUUAUUAAGAGACCAUGUAAAGUAAAAACUAUUCACCUUCUCACCUCUCUGGAUGAAGGCAUUGAGCAAGUGCAGCAAAGUAGAGGCCUGCAAGAAAUAGAAGAGUCACUCAGGAGUCACGGAGUGCUGUUGGAAGUUCAAUACUCUUCUUCAAUACAUGACCGAGAAAUUAGGU
rnacentral:lncRNA from 1 species